AGGCGAGAGAAAAUUUGUUUUCAACACAUCAGUAGCAUAUAACAUAAAUAAAUUGAAUAUAAAAAAUUUGAGGAUAUGAAUAAAGUAAAUUCUACUAUAAAUGAAACUGUUCCUAUUUUAUAUUUUAGAACGAGGUGUUGCGUGGCAUAGCCUAUUAUAACAGCCUUACUUUCCUUCAAGCAUUCAAAUGAAUUUAAAUGACUAAAUAGAUUUAUGCUAUGAUAAAAUAGAUAUAAAUGAUAGAUUGAAUUAAUAAUGUUUUUUCUUAGCCUCUGCAUGUCAUAAUGAAUUGAAUUAUUAAGUACUACUGUUUCAUUCUUGCAGCUGUAGGUAGGCUACUGACCAAUUUGCGUUUUUCAAUAUAGUAUUAAAGAGGCCAUAUCAUCUGAACGGGUGAGAAUUUUGCUAAUCCGUUUGCAGAUUGUAGUUCUGGCAUCAAGAAGCAUAAGAAGGCAGAGUUGAUGAUGAUUUCAUUUCUCCCGAAAAAAUAAGAAAAAUAAUGUACUGACAAAUUUGAGUUUUUAAACAUAGUUAAGUGCUCAUAUCUCCUGAACGUGGAAGAAUUUUUCUAAUCCGUUUGCAGAUUCUAGUUCUGGCAUCAAGAAGCAUGAGGAGGCAGAGUUGAUACGGUAAUGAUUCUAUUUCUCCCGAAAAAAUGAGAAAAAUAAUGUACUGACCAAUUUGCGUUUUUCAAUAUAUUAAAGAGGCCAUAUCAUCUGAACGGGUGAGAAUUUUGCUAAUCCGUUUGCAGAUUGUAGUUCUGGCAUCAAGAAGCAUAAGAAGGCAGAGUUGAUGAUGAUUUCAUUUCUCCCGAAAAAAUAAGAAAAAUAAUGUACUGACAAAUUUGAGUUUUUAAACAUAGUUAAGUGCUAAUAUCUCCUGAACGUGGAAGAAUUUUUCUAAUCCGUUUGCAGAUUCUAGUUCUGGCAUCAAGAAGCAUGAGGAGGCAGAGUUGAUACGAACGAGAUGUUACGCCGCACAUUGGCCGAGCUUCCUUGGACCGAUAAACCUCAUUGGUUCAAACAGACCUUGCAUGUCAUGAUGACGAGGGCCAAUAUGGACAUCGAAAUAAGACCCUAUGGAAUAUACACUCUCAACUAUAUGUCAUUCAAAGAUUUAAUGAAGACAGCCUUCUCAGUGGGUAAUGUUUUCUACACUAAGCAGAAAUCGACUCAAUGAAUUGGAGCUCAAAAAUUUAUAUGAUUGUAUUUUCCCAAAGUUUUAUUACAAUUAAUAAUAUACAACAAUCAUUUAUAUUGCCAUUGUGCA
rnacentral:misc_RNA from 1 species